UGGGGAAUUUUGCACAAUGGGCGAAAGCCUGAUGCAGCGACGCCGCGUGGAGGAAGAAUGCCUUCGGGUUGUAAACUCCUUUUGUAGGGGAAGAUAAUGACGGUACCCUGCGAAUAAGCCACGGCUAACUCUGUGCCAGCAGCCGCGGUAAGACAGAGGUGGCGAGCGUUGUUCGGAAUUACUGGGCUUAAAGGGUGCGUAGGCGGUAAUACAAGUCUGGGGUGGAAUUCUACGGCUUAACUGUAGGACUGCCCUGGAAACUGUAUAACUUGAGUCGGACAGGGGAAGGCGGAAUUCCAGGUGUAGCGGUGAAAUGCGUAGAUAUCUGGAGGAAGGUCUGUGGCGAAGGCGGCCUUCUGGGUUUUGACUGACGCUGAGGCACGAAAGCGUGGGGAGCAAACAGG
rnacentral:rRNA from 1 species